UAAAUACAAGUAUUGUAAUACCGUACUGUUUGUAUUUAUUGACAGAUCCUGAUACUAGGCCCAGAUUGCGUUUCCAUCCUUGCAGUCGUCCCGGUGGUGGCAAUGGUAUUAAUUCUGAUUGGGGGCCUAUCCUUUAUUGUCUUUGGCAUGUGGAAGUGGAAACGCACAGGAUGACUAUCUUUAAUGUUUAACAUCUUUAUCAACAAUGUAAUUAGUGGCCGAUAGAACACGUCCCAUUGGUGACCCACCUGUGUCAAUGUGUUGUUCUUUCCUCCAUUUGAUGGACCUACUUACUCUGCUGCCAAGGGUACCGACAGAACAGAGCAACUCGUCUUGAGAGAUGGAAUCAACAGUCUUGAUACAGCUGUACUCCAACCACCAUCAUACCAUAUUAUGGUAAUACCAUCUCUGAUGGAGAUGAAAUGAAGUGAACGAUGGUCCCUUUUUUUCAAAAAGGAAAAUGAAGAAAUCCACAACUAAUUGAACAAGCAAGCUUUGCACUGCUCUGUUGCUAUUUAAUGAGACUUGUUAUAUGGCCAGUAAUAAUUGCCUAAACUUUGUAAGUGAAUUGUGUAUACACUCCUCUACGUAUUUAUUUGGACAGUGAAGCUGAAACUUUUAAUUUAGCUCUACACUCCAGCAUUUUGAAUUUGAGAUCAAAUGUUUCACGAGGCGACAAUACAGAAUGUCACCUUUUAUUUGAGGGUAUUUUCAAACAUAUGUUCUACCGUUUAGAAAUUAAAGCACGUUAUGUAUCUAGUCCUCAUUUUUGAAGUUGUCAAAAGUGUUUGGGCAACUUUACCUAUGUGUAUUAAAAUAGCCAAAAUUGUAGUAUUUGAUCCCAUAUUCCCAUAGUAGUACACAGUGACUACAUUAAGCUUGUGACUCUACAAACUUGU